AACGUUGCGUUAGCAACGGCCCGAAGGGCGAGACGAAGUCGAGUCAUCCUGCACGACCCACCAUCCUGAAUGAUUA
rnacentral:tRNA from 1 species